rnacentral:rRNA from 1 species
AUACGGAGGAUCCGAGCGUUAUCCGGAUUUAUUGGGUUUAAAGGGUGCGUAGGUGGUAGAUUAAGUCAGCGGUGAAAGUUUGUCGCUCAACGAUAAAAUUGCCGUUGAUACUGGUUUACUUGAGUAUAGUUGAAGUAGGCGGAAUGCGUGGUGUAGCGGUGAAAUGCAUAGAUAUCACGCAGAACUCCGAUUGCGAAGGCAGCUUACUAAGUUAUAACUGACACUGAAGCACGAAAGCGUGGGUAUCAAACAGGAUUAGAUACCCUGGUAGUCCACGCAGUAAACGAUGAUUACUAGCUGUUUGCGAUACACUGUAAGCGGCACAGCGAAAGCGUUAAGUGAUCCACCUGGGGAGUACGCCGGCAACGGUGAAACUCAAAUGAAUUGGCGGGG